AGCCCCGCGGAGGAUGCCGGGAGCGGUGGUUCCCGCGCCCCCACUGCCUCAUGGGAGUUGUGGUUUUCCCGCCUCUUCUCUCAGCUUUCCUCCAAGGCUUUGGUCUGGCUCCCCCUUGUUCUGAGCCCAAAGCCUAGCCGCUAGUAACAAAACCGUGUGAGGAUACAAGGAUGCCUCUCUUGCCCCCUUUUAUUCACUUUGGCACUGGAGACUCUGGUUGGUGUGUUAAGACAAGAAUAAGAAGUUAAAGACAUCUGGAUUAGAAGUUCUCGGCGGACACAACAUCUUUGUAUGUGGUGCUGAGGAUCGAACCCGGGCC